rnacentral:misc_RNA from 1 species
GUGAAUCAUCAAAUUUUUGAACGCAAAUUGCACUCCCUGGUAUUCCGGGGAGUAUGCCUGUUUGAGGGUCGUUAGAAUAAAAAAUCGGGGUGGCGCGCUUUUUUUUAAGGGUGAGCGCGUCGGAAUUAAGCCGUCUUUCAAGUGUUAAUGCAUGAAAAUGUAGCUUAAAAUUCAUCCAUCCGGUAC